GGCUUAAUGGUCUAGUAGUAUGAUUCCUCCUUCGGGCUUAACACCCAUCAGAUGCUGGUCUGAUAUGAAUGGAGGAGGUCCUGGGUUCAAUUCCCAGUUAAGCCC